UACGUAGGGGGCAAGCGUUGUCCGGAUUUAUUGGGCGUAAAGAGCGUGUAGGCGGCCUGACAGGUCUGCUGUGAAAACUCGAGGCUCAACCUCGAGAUGUCGGCGGAAACCGUCUGGCUAGAGUCCGGAAGAGGAGAGUGGAAUUCCUGGUGUAGCGGUGAAAUGCGCAGAUAUCAGGAAGAACACCUAUGGCGAAGGCAGCUCUCUGGGACGGUACUGACGCUGAGACGCGAAAGCGUGGGGAGCGAGCCGG
rnacentral:rRNA from 1 species